rnacentral:lncRNA from 12 species
CUGUCCCAGGGAUCUUGUACAGGGCCGAUCUCCUCCGGGAAUCUCACCCAGGGGAUCUCAUACGGGGAUCUUUUACAGAGGAUCUGGCACGGGGAUGUGGCACUGGGAUCCCACACAGGGAUCUGGUGUGGGGAAUCUCAUACAGGGAUCCCACAUGGGGGAUCUUGCACAAGGAUGUCUCCUGGGGAUCUUGUCUGGGGGAUCUCCUGGGGGCAUCACAGGUGGGAUCUUGCACGGGGGAUCUCCCGUGUGGAUCUCACCCAGGGAUCUGGCACUGGGAAUUUUGCACUGGGAUCUGAGGAUUUUGCACUGGGAUCUCAAACUGGGAUGUCAAACUGGGAUGUCAAACUGGGAUCUCAAACUGGGAUCUCAAACUGGGAUCUCACCUUGGAAUCUUGUCUGGGGGAUCCCAAACCGGGAUCUCAGGGAUCUCGCCCAGGGAUCUCACCCAUCCCCAGGGAUCCCCAUUCACCUGGGGACACUCCCUGCUCCCUUGGGGAUUUUAUGGCCUGGUCACCAUCAUUGUCAUCGUCAUCAUGAUCCUCGCUGUGAUUGUUACCAUUUCCUUCAUCAUCAUCAUCAUCAUCAUUGACAUCAUCAUCAUCAUCACCAUCACCAUUGUCAUCAUCAUCAUCAUCAUCAUUGACAUCAUGGUCAUCAUCAUGGUCAUCAUCAUUGUCAUCAUCAUUGACAUAAUUUUCAUCAUCAUCAUCAGUACUGUCAUUAUUAUCACCGCUAUAAUUGUCUUUGUCAUCAUCAUUAUCAUUGUUGUAAUCAUCGUCGUAAUCAUCAUCAUCGUCAUCGUCAUCAUUGUCAUUGUCAUCGUCAUCGUUGUCAUCGUCAUCGUCGUCGUCGUCGCUGCCAUCAUCUUCAUCGUCAUCAUCAUCGUCAUCGUCAUCAUCAUCGUCAUCAUCAUCAUCAUCUUCAUCCUCAUCGUCAUCUUCAUCUCCACGGUCACCGUCACCGUUGUCACCAUCGCUGUCCCCAGUGUCCCCAGUGUCCCCAGUGUCCCCAGUGUCCCCCUCCAGAACGUCCUCCAGCCACUCCAGCACCUCCUCAGGCCCCGGCAGAUCGUCCUCGUCCUGCAUGUCCAGCCACACGCUGCGGGCCUGGGGACACGGCGUGACACUGGGGUGACACUGGGUGACACUGGGGUGACACGGGGGGGGGGGGGGGGGGGGGGGGGGGGGGGGGGGGGGGGGGGGGGGGGGGGGGGGGGGGGGGGGGGGGGGGGGG